GGUCUUCAGAAAGUGCCGGCAUGAGCCGUGGAAGCUUCUUGUCCAGCGCGCUGAAAAGAUGGCAUGGCUGAGCAGAGUGUAGCCUGUCACUCUGGGAACUAGCAUACAUGGCCUGUCCUAAGGGCCACACUGGAGGACAGCGUAUGCAGGAUUCAUGGGGUGCCCAGGCCAGGCUCAACUGGGGGAAACACUGAGCAAAGCAGGCGCUGCCCCCGGAUCCCCUGUGGGCUUCUGCCGGAGGAUAAGGUUUCUGAUGGAGAAAGUUCAGACCAAAGGCCAAGAGAAUGUGGAGGGAGAAACACCUUUAUUUUCAUCAGAAGCAGUAAUGCGUAUGAACCUGCAGCAACCAUUGACUGUACCAGGUAAGAAAGCAGGAUCCUGGUGGGGGUGAGACACAGGAGAAAUCUUAGAGGAAGCCAGAGGUCACACCUAAUGAAGUCUGAGAUGAAGUCACUUGGAGUAGUAGUAUCUGGUGGCUUAAGCCAUUCCUCAAGCUUUGCUCUUUUCUGGGUGACUGGGAUACACAGCAAUGAUCUACUCUGAGGUGGAAGUUCCUGAAAGCAGGUAUCUGUAGGCCAUUAUUGGUUUAGGAAACCAAUCUAGGAGCUUAACUUCUAGAUGUGCUUCCCAUGAGGAGAGAAAACAUCUUCUGUGACCUUCCCCAGGAACCCUUCCCAGGCCCCUAGCCUGAACCCCUGUUCAGAACAAGGUUAACCUAGUUUCCUGUCAGGACUUUGGACCCCACAGGCCUCUUCCUUGAGAGCAGACGGAAGUCCACGGUGACACACGACUGUGGGUCACAGGCAGACCUAUAAAGAAAGCUCAGGAUUCUUUUGCUGGUUGCUCUUCCUGCCCGUGUUGUUGAGACCGGCUGGUGAGUAAGUCUCCUGCUGCACCAGGGCCUGGCUAGCAGAAGCCUCCACGAGCGGACAGAAGCUCCAGGUAACACGUCAAACUACGGAAUUGAUCUGUUGGCUCUCCUACACCCCCGCUCCACGUAUCCCUUCUUGGUGAUGUGAGGUGUCUUCCUUGUGUGCCCCCUAAUGGCAUAUCAGGGCAGGGUGCUUAGUGAAGCUUCCCUCACACAGAGCAACUGUAAUACUUCUCCCCAGUGUGUGUUUUCUGGUGGGCAUUGACGGAGCUGUUGUUGAAGCUUUUCCCACACUGUGCACGCAGGUAUGGGCUCUGCCCCAUGUGGGCUCGCCGGUGAGCGCUGAACUGGGAGCUGUUGUUGAAUCUCUUUCCACAGACGGUGCACUGGUGGGCAGUGAGGUUGGAGCGCUCACUAAAGCCUUUCCCACACUCGCUGCACUUGUGAGGCUUUUCUCCCGUGUGGAUUCUCUGAUGCCGCACAAGGUAAGAACCUCGGCUAAAGCUUUUCCCACAUUCCUGACACUUAGAAGCUCUGUCCAGCUCGGGGACUGGCUGAUAACAACAGAAAGUUCCUUGAGAGCAGGUUCCCCCUGCACAGGCCUUCUCUCCAGCCUGGAGUAUCUGCUGCCUCUCCCUCUCCUGGGCUGGGGCUGUCCCCUCGUGCUCGCCUGGAGACCGUCUACAUGGCCCUCUCAGCAUAGGCUCACCCUUCCCUUCUCUCUCCGGUUCAGGGUUCCAAAAAAGGUCACCAGACUUUCU